AGGGUACUUAUGCAAUGCGGGGUCAAGGGCUGUCUACAGAACUCAAAACCAGAUCUUUAGGGAGUGCUAGGAGAAGAGACGGAGCUGAAUAGAGAUGCUUGGGCAUGACUCCUUGGCAGGGAAACCCAGCAAACCCGUAUUAACCUCUUAGUGUGGCCUUGGGAAAAGGUCCCGUGACCAAUGAAAGUGAUAAGAGAAUUGAAAAUUUGGUGAUCGGCGGCACAGUAGAGAAGGAAGAUGCAAAGGGAAACUGGAAAGGCUCUUGAUGUGGAGGGGGGAGACGCUGGGGCCAAGUGCCUCUCAUGGUGAAGACAGUACACAGCAGAGUACAGUUCCUGCCCUCUGGGAGCUCAUCAUCCAAUGGGCACAACAGACAGAUGAUUUAUGAUGUAGCUCUGAUGACUGGAGAACAAAGCAACACUGAAACACAGACGAGAACACCUGAACCAAGACAAGUCUCAUGUCAAGAAAGCUUCCUGGAGCACUCUUCUUGUCACUGCACAAGAUAUUCCUAAAGAUAGAGCUUGUAACUGGUCGCCUUACUACCUCCACAGUGCCUACUAGUCCCACUGGCUUACUAACCCUUCAUAAAUAUCACUCGUCCCUUUGCGUGACAGUUUUCUACAUUGUUCUAUAGCCAAACAGUUUCUACAACUUUGCAAACCCAUGACUGAACGCAUUGCUCUUUUUGUUUCUUUAAACUUGAAUUAAAUGUUUACCUAACUGUAGAAUAUCAAGAAAAAUCCCACUUUUACCUCCUUCUAUCCAAAAGGCAAUUUCUCGUUCACCACCUCUUCUUUCUUUUACUUAUGAGAACUUGGAUACUUGAGUGUUUGUAUACAUGAAAGCAAAAUAGGAUUCUGUUUGUAUGCAUCUUACAAUUAGAAAAAUAAAUAAAAAUAAACUUACCAAUUAAAAAUCUUCAGAUCACAUUGAUGGCCUGGGUUA